rnacentral:rRNA from 1 species
UGGGGAAUAUUGGACAAUGGGCGCAAGCCUGAUCCAGCCAUGCCGCGUGAGUGAUGAAGGCCCUAGGGUUGUAAAGCUCUUUCACCGGUGAAGAUAAUGACGGUAACCGGAGAAGAAGCCCCGGCUAACUUCGUGCCAGCAGCCGCGGUAAUACGAAGGGGGCUAGCGUUGUUCGGAUUUACUGGGCGUAAAGGGUGCGUAGGUGGUCCUUCAAGUCGGUGGUUAAAGGCUACGGCUCAACCGUAGUAAGCCGCCGAAACUGGAGGACUUGAGUGCAGGAGAGGAAAGUGGAAUUCCCAGUGUAGCGGUGAAAUGCGUAGAUAUUGGGAGGAACACCAGUAGCGAAGGCGGCUUUCUGGACUGCAACUGACACUGAGGCACGAAAGCGUGGGUAGCAAACAGG